CACGUUGCCACCCUCCGUCAUCGUGUGUCUGACUAUGGUGAGCGUGUUUGGCUGCAUGGUGCUGACGUGUAUGGGCCAGAAAGACAUGCUGUUGGAGAGGACAAGAGGAAGAUGAAGGAGGGACACGCAGCAUGGACCUGAGCCCUAGGACCUGAGCUCCAGGACUACCUGACAU